rnacentral:rRNA from 1 species
UGGGGAAUAUUGCGCAAUGGGCGAAAGCCUGACGCAGCAACGCCGCGUGGGGGAUGAAGGCCUUCGGGUUGUAAACCUCUUUCAGCAGGGAAGAAGCGAAAGUGACGGUACCUGCAGAAGAAGCACCGGCUAACUACGUGCCAGCAGCCGCGGUAAUACGUAGGGUGCAAGCGUUGUCCGGAUUUAUUGGGCGUAAAGAGCUCGUAGGCGGUUAGUCACGUCGGAUGUGAAAACCCGGAGCUUAACUCCG